rnacentral:lncRNA from 1 species
UUCAUCUCCUGAAGUUUCUUCUGUUGUACUCAGUUUGCCAACAGUGACAAAGCUGAAAGGGUUUUCUCAAGCUUUUUAUGAGGGAGGGGGGAGUUUUCAGUUAAAAUGUGCAAGAAAAUGGAAGGAAAGAAGACCACUUGCAAUUUGGUGGUGCAAUCAUUGACAUCCGUCCUGCAUAAGACAGAGGUGGAAGCGAAUGAGUUUGAAGCUCGGUGGGGGGCGCAGGCUCCGGCUCCUGUUUGCAGACCCAGACUGAAGAUAAUAUUGGGGCAGGUUGGAGAGUGCUGUGGUACAGUUUGACUUGGUGGCCAGCGAGACCAUUUAAUUGUUUCCACAUGGAGAAAACGAAAUGUUAGAGUCGUUUUCAGAGUUCUGUGAACCUUAAAGUCAACUAUUAUUAGUGCCUGCUAGCAAUAUUAGCAAUGUUUAACUGGAACAAACCAAGAAAGCUGACCAGUCAGAUUAUGUUUUCACAUGUUAAAAAGGAACUAAUCAGCUAUGCGUUUACAUAAAACAACACAAACGAAUCCUGUUCUGGCUAACAUGCUAACACUGUGGUAGUUUUUCCAGGAUCGUUUGUUUGUCAUUGUAGGCCUCCAUUUCUUAUUCUUUGUUGAAGUAUUGCUCUGUCUUCCUCCAUCUUGUUCUCUUUCAUCAUUUGCUGCAGUAGAAGGAUAAUUAUAGCUUUUGGGAAAUUAUGCCUCCGUAAAGGCCCCUUUGGGGAAGAAUCAGGCUGUAAAAACGAUUCUUUGCCCACUGUGUAUAACAGCGCUAUGUUGUGUGGAGAAAGUGUGAGGUAAACAAGUUCUUUCAGCUUUCUCUGCAUAUCACAGUCUGAUUGGUGAGAUGUUUCCAUGUUCUCCAUUCUUCUCUCCAAUACAUUCAGUGCGGAAUAGACUCCAUAUUCACUGGCAGUUUAAAUCGUUCAUCUCAGACUAACAGCCUUAUGCGAUGUGAAAUCUGCUUUUUCUUGAUCUUAAGUUAGUCUGUGUCCCUGAGUGUGUUAUGUAAUGCAAGGGACGAGGCGCUGCCUGUGUCCUUUUGGGAUUUAUGUAGCCGUGGGGGUGUGUAUGGAAAUGUAUGCGUGAGAGUUUCAGAACCACAGCAACGGGCCGUACUGGUUCACAUUAGAGUUGUAUAUCACAUGUAAAUUAUCCAGAACCGAUGUUAAUCAACAAACGCUCCUGCACACAAAGCCUCUGAGCUCAUCUCUAACUCAGGGGUCUGGCACAAACCACGCUGCAUCACACAGAAAUUUACAGGAAUAGUUUGGCGCUGUCGAAACCACCUGGAAAACAACUGCACAUUCCGUUUCAUUGUGUUUGUGCCCAUAUCAUACUGAUAUGGCUGCUGCACUGCAUGUUGUUGUUGUUGUUUUAGCUAUUUAAGUUUCUCGUUUUGCUUCAUGAAUUGUCCCUUUAAUGUAUGUGGUCAUUAUUAUGGCUCUGCUGAAAAUAAAUUAACAGCUGUUAUGUGUGACGAAGCAUUUUUAUUUGGAGUUUUGUUAUUUAACUUUUUUUUU